rnacentral:rRNA from 1 species
UUGCCUACGGGGCGCAGCAGUGGGGAAUAUUGCACAAUGGGGGAAACCCUGAUGCAGUGACGCCGCGUGAGCGAAGAAGUAUUUCGGUAUGUAAAGCUCUAUCAGCAGGGAAGAAAAAUGACGGUACCUGAGUAAGAAGCACCGGCUAAAUACGUGCCAGCAGCCGCGGUAAUACGUAUGGUGCAAGCGUUAUCCGGAUUUAUUGGGUUUAAAGGGUGCGUAGGCGGUCCGUUAAGUCAGCGGUCAAAGCCCGGGGCUCAACCCCGGCCCGCCGUUGAAACUGGCAGUCUCGAGUUGGAGAGAAG